GUACCUGUAGCUCAAUUGGAUAGAGCAUUGGUUUGCGGAACCAAAGGUUAACGGUUCGAUUCCGUUCAGGUACG
rnacentral:tRNA from 1 species